GGAAUCCCUGGAAUGAGGCACCGCCCACCCUGAGCCGGGCUCCGCCAGGCCAGCCAGGCCACGCCCUCGGUCACGCCCCUCACGGAGCAGGUGGGGGCUGAGCCCAGCCCGCCAAGUGUCCGGAGUUCAGCCGAACCUGCGGCACCCACGCCGCCCUCCGCUUCCCCCGACUCGCCGAGCAGCCGAGGAAGGGCGCACCACCCGCCCGCGCCGGUUCGCCGUCCACACCCACUCACCCCCGGAACGAGGCGCACCUUCCCUCCCCCGCCUCCUGGGCCCCGUCGCCCCCUCUCGGCACCCGCAUGCCCGAGCCGCGCUCCUCGACGGGCCGACGGCCACGCACCUGAAGGGACAGGUCACACCGGCUGCGGGAGGGGCUGCUCGGCGCCACUGCGCUCAGAACGGCCGCGGCGGUCCAGGGCGCUCCGACGCCGCUCGGUUUCCUCCCAUUACAGCAUGUUGCACUCCAGCGCUGCACUUCACACUCGCACACGCACACGCGCACAACUCCAGGCGCUCGGCGGCCUCCUUCCCCCGCCUCGCCCGGAGGAGGAAGUCCUAGUAAAUCAAAACAGGCUGGGAGGGAGGGAGAUCGGAGUGGAAAGAGUCCCCUUCAGCUGCUCACACACCAGUGUUUGCUGUGUUUGGCAAACUCCUGGCGUCCACAACCCGGCCUGCUCUGAAAUGUGCCCGGGGAGGGGCAGGGAGGAGGAGGUAAAACGUUUCUAAUUGGCGCAGGUUCUUAUAUUACAGCAGCAGGGCAGACAUGUGACCACGAAAAGAAAAGGCCUGUCUUUAAUUUUUUCCUGUCUUUCUCUGGGGAUUUGGUGGUGGGGGGCCAGGGGAUAGAGGCCUGAUACCCGCCCCCCGCCAUCCCCAGCAACCCUUGCCCUAUUGUUUUCUUGUACUGCCACAAUUAAGAAAACAUUUGCUUAGCAUAUCCAGCCGCUAACUUAAUAAAAUAAAUAGAGACUGGA